rnacentral:rRNA from 1 species
UACGAAGGUGGCAAGCGUUGUUCGGAUUUACUGGCGUAAAGGGAGCGUAGGUGGUUAGGUAAGCCCUCCGGGAAAUCUUCAGGCUUAACCUGAAAAGGUCGGGGGGACUGCCUAGCUAGAGGGCGGGAGAGGAGCGCGGAAUUCCCGGUGUAGCGGUGAAAUGCGUAGAGAUCGGGAGGAAGGCCGGUGGCGAAGGCGGCGCUCUGGAACGUUUUUCUGACA